CCUACGGGAGGCAGCAGUGAGGAAUAUUGGUCAAUGGGCGCGAGCCUGAACCAGCCAAGUAGCGUGAAGGCUGACUGCCCUACGGGUUGAAAACUUCUGUUAUAAAGGAAUAAAGUGAGGAACGUGUGCCUUUUUGUAUGUACUUUAUGAAUAAGGAUCGGAUAACUCAGUUCCAGCAGCCGCGGUAAUACGGAGGAUCCGAGCGUUAUCCGGAUUUAUUGGGUUUAAAGGGAGCGUAGAUGGGUUGUUAAGUCAGUUGUGAAAGUUUGCGGCUUAACCGUAAAAUUGCAAUUGAUACUGGCAGCCUUGAGUACAGUUGAGGUAGGCGGAAUUCGUGGUGUAGCGGUGAAAUGCUUAGAGAUCACGAAGAACCCCGAUUGCGAAGGCAGCUUACUAGACUGUGACUGACAUUGAUGCUCGAAAGUGUGGGUAUCAAACAGGAUUAGAUACCCGAGUAGUC
rnacentral:rRNA from 1 species